GCCAUCGGAUGGUGCAAAACACUUCCUAUUCACAGUCGGAAAUGGCAUCAGCCAUCAGAUCAGACUCCGAAUUGAUUUUCAGCCAUUAGAUUGUGCAUUGGAUUUCCUUCUUCGCUUAGUUUUUAACUGACAACAAAUGUGGACUGUUGGAUCUAGUUUGGGAUAAAUUUGGACUAUUGGAUCACACAAAAAAGCUUUCGCCCAUCGUGGACCACAUCAUGCACCAUGAAUUGCUCCCAUGGACCAUACCCUUGAAUCCGUGGACUGAGCGACUGGUCCACCAUGCAUCGAGCUAUAAAAAUUAAUUUUUAUGGUAUUUUUGCUU
rnacentral:lncRNA from 1 species